rnacentral:rRNA from 1 species
UACGAAGGGGGCUAGCGUUGUUCGGAAUUACUGGGCGUAAAGCGCACGUAGGCGGAUUGUUAAGUUAGGGGCGAAAUCCCAGGGCUCAACCCUGGAACUGCCUUUAAUACUGGCAAUCUCGAGUCCGAGAGAGGUGAGUGGAAUUCCGAGUGUAGAGGUGAAAUUCGUAGAUAUUCGCAAGAACACCAGUGGCGAAGGCGGCUCACUGGCCCGAUACUGACGCUGAGGCACGAAAGCGUGGGGAGCAAACAGG